UGUACUUUCUACAAUGUCAGCUCCACCAGCUCAUAGCAGUCGUUUCCUGCUGCCUGUUGUUGGUCAGUCUAAGCCGCUUUGUUUUGACGUUCCUGUUCCUUACAAACUCCGACUCCUACAGGAUUCAGCUUCAGAGUUCUCUAUGAAUGGAGAAUCCAUGACUGGACAAAAUGGAUGUCGUAAAAUUGCAUUUCAUUACAAAACAAACCAUCAUCUGACAA